rnacentral:rRNA from 1 species
GGUAAUACGUAGGUGGCAAGCGUUGUCCGGAUUGACUGGGCGUAAAGAGCGCGCAGGCGGCUGGCCAAGUCCGAUGUGAAAUCUUCCGGCUUAACUGGGAAACUGCAUCGGAAACUGGUCGGCUUGAAGGUGGGAGAGGGUAGUGGAAUUCCCGGUGUAGUGGUGAAAUGCGUAGAUAUCGGGAGGAACACCAGUGGCGAAGGCGACUACCUGGCCCAUUCUUGACGCUGAGGCGCGAAAGCUAGAGGAGCGAACGG